rnacentral:tRNA from 1 species
GCCUGGGUGGUUCAGUCAGUUGAGUGUCCGACUUUGGCUCAGGACCUCACAGUUCGUGGGUUCAAACCCCACAUCGGGCU